rnacentral:rRNA from 1 species
UACAGAGGUCCCGAGCGUUGUUCGGAUUCACUGGGCGUAAAGGGUGCGUAGGUGGCGAUGUAAGUCUGAUGUGAAAGCUCAGGGCUCAACCCUGAAAUGGCAUUGGAUACUAUGUUGCUGGAGGAUUGGAGGGGAGACUGGAAUUCUCGGUGUAGCAGUGAAAUGCGUAGAUAUCGAGAGGAACACCGGUGGCGAAGGCGAGUCUCUGGACAAAUCCUGACACUGAGGCACGAAAGCUAGGGGAGCAAACAGGAUUAGAAACCCCCGUAGUCC